CCUACGGGAGGCAGCAGCAGGGAAUAUUGCACAAUGGGCGAAAGCCUGAUGCAGCGACGCCGCGUGCGGGAUGAAGGCCUUCGGGUUGUAAACCGCUUUCAGCAGGGACGAAAAUGACGGUACCUGCAGAAGAAGCCCCGGCCAACUACGUGCCAGCAGCCGCGGUAACACGUAGGGGGCGAGCGUUGUCCGGAUUUAUUGGGCGUAAAGGGCUCGUAGGUGGCUUGACAAGUCGGUCGUGAAAACCCGGGGCUCAACCCCGGGACGCCGGUCGAAACUGUCAUGGCUAGGGUCCGGUAGAGGUGAGUGGAAUUCUCGGUGUAGCGGCGAAAUGCGCAGAUAUCGAGAGGAACACCAGUAGCGAAGGCGGCUCACUGGGCCGGUACCGACACUGAGGAGCGAAAGCGUGGGGAGCAAACAGGAUUAGAUACCCUGGUAGUCCACGCCGUAAACGUUGAACACUAGGUGUGGCGGACUUAUCCACGUCUGCCGUGCCGCAGCUAACGCAUUAAGUAUUCCGCCUGGGGAGUACGGCCGCAAGGCUAAAACUCAAAUGAAUUGGACGG
rnacentral:rRNA from 2 species